rnacentral:rRNA from 1 species
UGUUCGGGGAUCUGCCUGAUGGAGGGGGAUAACUACUGGAAACGGUAGCUAAUACCGCAUAAUGUCGCAAGACCAAAGUGGGGGACCUUCGGGCCUCAUGCCAUCAGAUGUGCCCAGAUGGGAUUAGCUAGUAGGUGGGGUAACGGCUCACCUAGGCGACGAUCCCUAGCUGGUCUGAGAGGAUGACCAGCCACACUGGAACUGAGACACGGUCCAGACUCCUACGGGAGGCAGCAGUGGGGAAUAUUGCACAAUGGGCGCAAGCCUGAUGCAGCCAUGCCGCGUGUGUGAAGAAGGCCUUCGGGUUGUAAAGCACUUUCAGCGGGGAGGAAGGCGUUAAGGUUAAUAACCUUGUCGAUUGACGUUACCCGCAGAAGAAGCACCGGCUAACUCCGUGCCAGCAGCCGCGGUAAUACGGAGGGUGCAAGCGUUAAUCGGAAUUACUGGGCGUAAAGCGCACGCAGGCGGUCUGUCAAGUCGGAUGUGAAAUCCCCGGGCUCAACCUGGGAACUGCAUUCGAAACUGGCAGGCUAGAGUCUUGUAGAGGGGGG